CCUACGGGAGGCAGCAGUGGGGAAUAUUGGACAAUGGGGGGAACCCUGAUCCAGCCAUGCCGCGUGUGUGAAGAAGGCCCUCGGGUUGUAAAGCACUUUCAGUGAGGAAGAACGCCUGGUGGUUAAUACCCAUCAGGAAAGACAUCACUCACGGAAGAAGCACCGGCUAACUCCGUGCCAGCAGCCGCGGUAAUACGGAGGGUGCGAGCGUUAAUCGGAAUUACUGGGCGUAAAGCGCGCGUAGGUGGCUUGAUAAGCCGGUUGUGAAAGCCCCGGGCUCAACCUGGGAACGGCAUCCGGAACUGUCAAGCUAGAGUGCAGGAGAGGAAGGUAGAAUUCCCGGUGUAGCGGUGAAAUGCGUAGAGAUCGGGAGGAAUACCAGUGGCGAAGGCGGCCUUCUGGACUGACACUGACACUGAGGUGCGAAAGCGUGGGUAGCAAACAGGAUUAGAUACCCUGGUAGUA
rnacentral:rRNA from 1 species